rnacentral:rRNA from 1 species
ACGGGAGGCAGCAGUGGGGAAUAUUGGGCAAUGGGCGAAAGCCUGACCCAGCAACGCCGCGUGAAGGAAGAAGGUCUUCGGAUUGUAAACUUCUUUUAUAAGGGACGAAGAAAGUGACGGUACCUUAUGAAUAAGCCACGGCUAACUACGUGCCAGCAGCCGCGAUAAUACGUAGGUGGCAAGCGUUAUCCGGAUUUACUGGGUGUAAAGGGCGUGUAGGCGGAACUGUAAGUCAGAUGUGAAAUCCCGGGGCUCAACCCCGGAACUGCAUUUGAAACUGUAGCCCUUGAGUAUCGGAGAGGCAAGCGGAAUUCCUAGUGUAGCGGUGAAAUGCGUAGAUAUUAGGAGGAACACCAGUGGCGAAGGCGGCUUGCUGGACGACAACUGACGCUGAGGCGCGAAAGCGUGGGGAGCAAACAGGAUUAGAUACCCUGGUA